CACCCCCACCCGCUUUGCUGAGACAUUCUUCCACUUUGCUAUGCUGGAUUUUAAUGCGUAGUCUGGGGGCUUCUCCAGCUUAGUUAAGACAGACUAUUAUGGCAGAUGAACUAAUUGCCUCCACACAGUUCUCUCCGUUGUAAUCUCCACAAGAGAUGGACAGUUGCCACUUGAAAGCACGGGUAAAAUCUGUCUUUUGGCCAAAGAAGCAGGCCACCUGCAGUCUGGAUGAGCUGCAGAGCUUCAAUCCAGCUGCUCUGGGUACAGUGGGGGACAAGUGCCCUGGCAGAGGAUAUGAUGCCGACCCAGUUCCAGGGGGACUGUGUCCUGAGGACGUAAGGCAGACUUGAGCCAGCAAGUCCAUUGCCAUGAGGGGAUGCUGCACGCUUCUAAAAACUGAAGACGCCCAGUCCAGGAACCCCCUCCAUCCUUUUCGUCUCCUUUCCCUAACCAGGCGAGUCACUCACAUGAGCCCGGGUGGGUGGGGAGGCAACUCAUCGGUGUGACAUUAUCCAUCUCCUCCUCCUCCACCAUCUCCGCCACCACCACGUCUUUCCAGAAAUGACAAGAAGCAGUACUGCCUGAUGACAGAGUGUGGGUCACUGUGGUAGCAGCUAUUUCAUAAACAAGCUGGCUUUGGCCUGGUGGAGAGAAAUGGACCCUAAAGACUUGUGGUUCACCUCACUCAGGGCUUAAUGACUUUCUUCUGGCCUCUCCUGGUGUUCAGUGAUGGAGAGUCGCCUGGAGGUAGGGGACCUAUUGCCCCGAGUGGCCUUGAGACGGAUGAAGGUGACAGUAGGUCCAUAUUGGGAGCAGCUCAGGGAAAGAAGAGGCCAAGGCAAGCCGAAAGAGACUCUUCUUCAUCCAGUGACGUUUCCUGGUGAAGAAGGAGCCCAACCCACUCCUGCUGGAGGAGCCCGGGCCUGGCUUGUUGCUUAGCAAUGUAACUCGAUGUUGCUAAAAUCCGUCCAAGUGAAAAUUUACAAAGGCAGGUGAUACAAAGUAAAUGAAUUCUGUUGCAUAUAGUCCUGGAAAUGCUUGGUGGCUAAGUGGAGGGCAAGGUAGCCACACUCCCAAAAGCAGAAAGGUACCAAACAUCCCCCUGCGAGAGAAGUGGAUCUGUUGGGACAUUUAUGUUUGGUCCAAGUCUGUUACUAAUGUAGUGUGUAUGUGUUGAAAAUAGUAAAAGUGGUUAGCAUGGGUUUCCCAUGAGUUUAUUCUCUGUAGAGACUUAAGAACUCGCGGUGUGAAUCAUAGAGGUGCCACUCCAAUAAUUCUCUUUGUCUGAAACUCCUUGUGCACACAUCUGCAAUGUGUCUAAAGCAUCUCCUGUGGCUGUGUGUCACUGUCCUACCCCCGAAGGAAGGGCAUAGUCAGCCAUGAUGAAAUGGUGGGGGUUCUAGAUGAGAGAGUGAACAGAUUGAGACUUACCACCUGAAAUCACGUCCCUGGGGGCUCUGACAAGAGAUGAGUGAAUUCUGGUACUCGAGCUCUCAAGCAAAAUUUAACACACACUGCAAUCUAUUUUCUGAGUCCUCCCAGAGGAAUUAAACUGG
ensembl:lncRNA